UACGAAGGGGGCUAGCGUUGCUCGGAAUCACUGGGCGUAAAGCGCACGUAGGCGGGUCCUUAAGUCAGGGGUGAAAUCCCGGAGCUCAACUCCGGAACUGCCUUUGAUACUGGGGAUCUUGAGUCCGGAAGAGGUGAGUGGAACUCCGAGUGUAGAGGUGAAAUUCGUAGAUAUUCGGAAGAACACCAGUGGCGAAGGCGGCUCACUGGUCCGGUACUGACGCUGAGGUGCGAAAGCGUGGGUAGCAAACAGG
rnacentral:rRNA from 1 species